UGCGGUCUCUGAUCGAUCCAACAUAGAAGGAGCUUUUGAUCAAUUGUUAGACAACAUGAUAUUUGAUCAGUCUGAUCUUUGAUCGGUCCAGCGUAGAAGGAGUCUUUGAUCGAUUUUUAGACAACACGAUCUCUAAUCAGCCCAGCAUCGAAGAAGCCUUUGAUCGACUUUUAGACAACACAGUCUUUGAUCAGCCCAAUUUUUGAUCGAUCCAACGUAGAAGGAGCCUUUGAUCGAUUUUUAGACAACGCAUCCCUUGAUCGACCCAGCAUAGAAGGAGCUUUUCAUUGGCUUUGAGACAAUGCAGCCUUUGAUUGGCCC
rnacentral:lncRNA from 1 species